rnacentral:lncRNA from 10 species
CAAUGGCAAGGAGGUACCAUAGAGCUGGAAAUACAGAUGGAAGUAUUCUCUCCACAUAAUUGUAUUAUGCUGAAAAUGAAAACUAAAACCUGAUAAAAUGCUGCCAUUAUCCACCAGAAGCUCAGACAGAAGCCAAUCUCAUUCAAAGGAUUAUCAGGCCCUUGGAUAAGAGGAAGAAGAAUAAACUGAAGGCCACAGGCAGAAGCAACCUUUACCAGCAACCACGGAGGACAACUGGGGCCAGAAGAAGGGCCGAAGACCAGAGGCGGGCAAGUGGCAUUUCAGUUUCCUGAAAGAGGAAAAAGUUACAGGUUGGCUGUAGAAGACAUAGGAGACUCAUGACAGAAUCACCACUGGGAAAGCUGCCCAGCCAUCAGAAACAUCCCAUUAGGCUAAUAGGGGAGUAAGGAGAGUAAGCUACAGUGUGCACUGAGCUACUGAAACCCCGAGGUUUAUCACAGCAGCGGAGUGUUCUAACUAUUAAUAACACAAUUUAUGUUGGAUACAGUCCAGAAUCCUUACUGUGGCACUCCACCAUCUGACACAGCACUUGCUCUGUUCUCUCAUCACUCCAACUAUACCAGACAAUGACACAGACAAGUAUAGGUGUCUCCAUUGGUCUUCUGUCUGCCUUGCCUGGCAACUUCCUCCUCUACUCUUUGCCUGAUGAAUUACUGUCAUGCCAUGGAGAAAUGACUUUGGAUGUCACCUCUUCAGAGAGACCUUCCCUGACCAGCCCAUAGAAAAAGUCCCCCUGGCAUACAUGCCUGUGCCUCUGUUCUUCCUCAUCCAUAGCACUCCUUGGACUUGUCAAUAAUUGCACAUCCUGCCAGGCUGUGAGCUCCAAGAGGACAGAAUCAUUUCUAUCUGGUUUAUGACAUAUCUUUCUGGUCACUAGGACAGUGUCAAGUAUGUAGAAGGCAAUCAAUGAAUAUCUGUUGAGUGCAUGAAUGAAUGAACUGAUAUUGUGAGAAUAACCCUGAGUGUCCCUGUUUAGGAAGAUCCAAGGAAAAUGUCACUUCAGGCUGUCGAAUUCCUAGCAAUUUUUUAAAAAUUCUAUUAACAGUGUUAUUCUUACACAAUCAUCUUUCUGUCUUUGCGUUUGCCUCUAGGAAACUCACAGACGGAAUUACAGCUCGUUUUUAAGAACCACACAAGCCCUGAGGGCAUGCCAUACUGGAUAAUCUCUUAAUCUAGCUCCAUGUAAUUAUUGAAUCCUCCCUCUCUCAUUCUGAGUUCAUUAUUCUUUAUCCUCAGAGAGUGAAAGUACUUUUGUGGACUUCUCAAGUGCUUUUCUGUACAGAGUGGCAUAAAAAUUUUAGUUUCAUUCUGAAUGAGAGGGUUGGCCUGUAAUUUCCCCAUGCUUAUACUAACUUGGGAAUAGUUCAAAAUUUAUUUCUGCCUUUAUUUUGCCUAUAAAUAUUGAAUCUUCCCUGAUACAACUUAGAACAAAGCUGCUCUGAAUAGAUUUAAGCCACAUCACUUAUAACAAAGGUCACUAUGACAGAGGCAGCUGUUGAAAAUACUCCUCAAAAAUCAAAAAAUUUAAAGAUGACAGAGCUAAAAAGAGUCUCAGGGGGUCAUAUAGUCUAAUUCCCUCACAUCACAAAUGGAAAAGCUAAAAGCCAGGGAGGUCCAAUGACUCUCCCAAGACUGUGCAUACAGUGACUGGAGCUGGGCCUCUGGCUCUGGUGAACUUGCUCCUAAAUCAAUGUUCUUUUUACAGCAAUCCCCCCCACCCCUGCCUUUUUGUUACUUCAUGCCGGGGUGUAAUAGGAUGAAAAAUGCCCCCUCACCCC